GUAGGUGAACCUGCGGAGGGAUCAUUACACAAAUAUGAAGGCGGGCUGGAACCUCUCGGGGUUACAGCCUUGCUGAAUUAUUCACCCUUGUCUUUUGCGUACUUCUUGUUUCCUUGGUGGGUUCGCCCACCACUAGGACAAACAUAAACCUUUUGUAAUUGCAAUCAGCGUCAGUAACAAAUUAAUAAUUACAACUUUCAACAACGGAUCUCUUGGUUCUG
rnacentral:misc_RNA from 1 species